rnacentral:rRNA from 1 species
UGAGGAAUAUUGGUCAAUGGACGCAAGUCUGAACCAGCCAAGGAGCGUGCAGGAUGACGGCCCUAUGGGUUGUAAACUGCUUUUAUAUGGGGAUAAAGUGGGGAACGUGUUCCCUUUUGCAGGUACCAUAUGAAUAAGGACCGGCUAAUUCCGUGCCAGCAGCCGCGGUAAUACGGAAGGUCCGGGCGUUAUCCGGAUUUAUUGGGUUUAAAGGGAGCGUAGGCCGCGUUUUAAGCGUGUUGUGAAAUGUAGACGCCCAACGUCUGCAUCGCAGCGCGAACUGGGACGCUUGAGUACGCGGAACGGUGGCGGAAUUCGUGGUGUAGCGGUGAAAUGCUUGGAUAUGACAAGGAACUCCGAUUGCGAAGGCAGCUGACGGGAGCGGCACUGACGCUUAAGCUCGAAGGUGCGGGUAUCAAACAGG